AAAAUGGAGGCCACUGGACCAGUUUCAAUCCCACAGUAAAGAGGAAGGAACGCUUGAAAUACCUCCAUUUCAUUGAAUGCCUGCUUUCCUCUGAAGGACCAGUUUUGCUGGGUACCUACCACUCCUGAUUCCCUGGACUUAUCCAUCAUGAACCAGCUUCACUCUGAAAGGUUCCUGUUCCCUUCCAAUCCAUUUCUCCCAUAGGGCUGGCUCAGUGGAAAUGGAAUGGCAUUGUCUCUCUGAAGUCCAAAACCAUCACCAAUCCAAUUCCAAAGUACUGCAGUGGUAAUUGAAAGCAGAGGAUGUUGCUUCAGCAGAAUUGAAGAUGGAGAGUGAAAGGAGAAGACGUCAAAAUGCAGCAAAACUUACAGCACUUCCUUUCCAAAUCCUGGACAGAUCGAACAUUGUCACUCUCUAACCAGUGGAGAUGGUCCAAAGGAUGCAGAUACUGAAGAAAGACCUUCAAAUGUAUCUUUCCUGAAAAAACCCCACCAAAAACAAAAGGACUAAUGUGUGUUUCACUUUUUCUUUCAUCCCAAGAUUUUAGAUUCAUUUAUAUUCUUGGAUAAUUCAAGGGUCCGUAUCACUGGGUAGCUUAUAAAAUUAGUUACAACGUACAGAUUUGGCUGUGUGAGGAAGGUUUUAUAAGCUAGCCUGGGACAUUCAGUGCAGCAUAUCUGAGACCAGAAUGGAGCCCAAGAGGAUAACAUUUCAGCAUGGUUUUCAGAGUAACUGGGUUUGAAAUUCUUGUAAUAGUUUAUAAGACUUGUUUAUCU
rnacentral:lncRNA from 1 species